GACGAACGCUGGCGGCGUGCCUAACACAUGCAAGUCGAGCGCAGGAAAUCGACGGAACCCUUCGGGGGGAAGUCGACGGAAUGAGCGGCGGACGGGUGAGUAACACGUAAAGAACCUGCCCUCAGGUCUGGGAUAACCACGAGAAAUCGGGGCUAAUACCGGAUGGGUCAUCGGACCGCAUGGUCCGAGGAUGAAAGGCGCUCCGGCGUCGCCUGGGGAUGGCUUUGCGGUGCAUUAGCUAGUUGGUGGGGUAAUGGCCCACCAAGGCGACGAUGCAUAGCCGACCUGAGAGGGUGAUCGGCCACACUGGGACUGAGACACGGCCCAGACUCCUACGGGAGGCAGCAGUAGGGAAUCUUCCACAAUGGACGAAAGUCUGAUGGAGCAACGCCGCGUGAACGAUGAAGGCCUUCGGGUCGUAAAGUUCUGUUGUAAGGGAAGAACAAGUGCCGCAGGCAAUGGCGGCACCUUGACGGUACCUUGCGAGAAAGCCACGGCUAACUACGUGCCAGCCGCCGCCGUAAUAC
rnacentral:rRNA from 1 species